CGGGACGUAGCGCAGUUUGGUAGCGCGCUUCCUUGGGGUGGAAGAGGUCGUGGGUUCAAAUCCCGUCGUUCCGACCA
rnacentral:tRNA from 9 species